rnacentral:ribozyme from 1 species
GCGAGGGAGGUAAAGGGGUGGAGAAGGAGGAGAUAGGGGUGGAAAACGAGAUAAUGCCAACAGACUCGGUCCAAAACUCUCAUCAGAUUUCACCUCAUUCCACUUCAAUUCAUUCAUCUCCUCGUUUCACCCAUCCUC